GAGGGAUCAUUACUGAGUUUACGCUCUAUAACCCUUUGUGAACAUACCUAUAACUGUUGCUUCGGCGGGUAGGGUCUCCGCGACCCUCCCGGCCUCCCGCCUCCGGGCGGGUCGGCGCCCGCCGGAGGAUAACCAAACUCUGAUUUAACGACGUUUCUUCUGAGUGGUACAAGCAAAUAAUCAAAACUUUUAACAACGGAUCUCUUGGUUCUGGCAUCGAUGAAGAACGCAGCGAAAUGCGAUAAGUAAUGUGAAUUGCAGAAUUCAGUGAAUCAUCGAAUCUUUGAACGCACAUUGCGCCCGCCAGCAUUCUGGCGGGCAUGCCUGUUCGAGCGUCAUUUCAACCCUCAAGCUCUGCUUGGUGUUGGGGCCCUACAGCUGAUGUAGGCCCUCAAAGGUAGUGGCGGACCCUCCCGGAGCCUCCUUUGCGUAGUAACUUUACGUCUCGCACUGGGAUCCGGAGGGACUCUUGCCGUAAAACCCCCCAAUUUUCCAAAGGUUGACCUCGGAUCAGGUAGGAAUACCCGCUGAACUUAAGCAUAUCAAUAA
rnacentral:rRNA from 1 species